GAACGCUAGCGGCAGGCUUAACACAUGCAAGUCGAGGGGCAGCAUGAUGAAACUUUCGGGUUUCAUUGAUGGCGACCGGCGCAAGGGUGCGUAACGCGUGAGCACUUGCCCUUAUCAGGGGGAUAACCGGUGGAAACGCCGACUAAUACCCCAUAGCAUCACUUUAAGGCAUCUUUUAGUGAUUAAAGAAUUUCGGAAACGGAUAGGCUCGCGUGACAUUAGCUAGAUGGCGGGGUAACGGCCCACCAUGGCGACGAUGUCUAGGGGUUCUGAGAGGAAGGUCCCCCACACUGGAACUGAGACACGGACCAGACUCCUACGGGAGGCAGCAGUGAGGAAUAUUGGACAAUGGAUGGAAAUCUGAUCCAGCCAUGCCGCGUGCAGGAUGACGGCCCUAUGGGUCUUAAACUGCUUUUGUAUGGGAGCAAUAAGCUUUACGCGUAGAGCGAUGAGAGUACCAUACGAAUAAGCAUCGGCUAACUCCGUG
rnacentral:rRNA from 1 species